rnacentral:rRNA from 1 species
GACGAACGCUGGCGGCGUGCUUAACACAUGCAAGUCGAACGGAAAGGCCCUGCUUUUGUGGGGUGCUCGAGUGGCGAACGAGUGAGUAACACGUGAGUAACCUGCCCUUGACUUUGGGAUAACUUCAGGAAACUGGGGCUAAUACCGGAUAGGAGCUCCUGCUGCAUGGUGGGGGUUGGAAAGUUUCGGCGGUUGGGGAUGGACUCGCGGCUUAUCAGCUUGUUGGUGGGGUAGUGGCUUACCAAGGCUUUGACGGGUAGCCGGCCUGAGAGGGUAACCGGCCACAUUGGGACUGAGAUACGGCCCAGACUCCUACGGGAGGCAGCAGUGGGGAAUAUUGCACAAUGGGCGGAAGCCUGAUGCAGCAACGCCGCGUGCGGGAUGACGGCCUUCGGGUUGUAAACCGCUUUCGCCUGUGACGAAGCGUGAGUGACGGUAAUGGGUAAAGAAGCACCGGCUAACUACGUG